GCAUAGCCCCGAUUGCAACGGAAAUCCUUUUUAAAACUUUACAAAAGUUUUAAAAAGAUUGCAGUGAAAAGCGGGAAAAAGC
rnacentral:sRNA from 1 species